CCUACGGGUGGCUGCAGUGGGGAAUCUUGGACAAUGGGGGCAACCCUGAUCCAGCAAUGCCGCGUGUGGGAUGAAGGCCUUCGGGUUGUAAACCACUUUUGGCGGGGGCGAAAUAUCGAGUGAUAAUACCAUUCGGUGAUGACGGUACCCGCAGAAUAAGCACCGGCUAACUACGUGCCAGCAGCCGCGGUAAUACGUAGCGUGCAAGCGUUAAUCGGAAUUACUGGGGGUAGUGCAGGAGCACGCAGGUGAAAUUCCCGGGCUCAACCUGGGAACUGCAUUUGUGACUGCUUGACUAGAGUGCGGCAGAGGGGAGUGGAAUUCCGCGUGUAGCAGUGAAAUGCGUAGAUAUGCGGAGGAACACCGAUGGCGAAGGCAACUCCCUGGGCCUGCACUGACGCUCAUGCACGAAAGCGUGGGGAGCAAACAGGAUUAGAUACCCUAGUAGUC
rnacentral:rRNA from 1 species